GUUCCGCUGGUUAAAAUCACGGAGGUCAUCCUACCACUUCCGCGAAGUCAAAGUAUCUUUCAUUCAUUAAACGUAGGCGUCAUAUCCUUCAUCACUUUCUUACGUUUUAUUUACUAUACUAUUUUCUAAGUGUUUUUAUCCAUCCUCCUUUUCAAUUUAUUUAUUUUGCCCUUAUCCGCAAUUGAAGUAAUUUGUAUAACAAUCAAUCCUGAUU
rnacentral:lncRNA from 1 species